rnacentral:rRNA from 1 species
GACGAACGCUGGCGGCGUGCUUAACACAUGCAAGUCGAACGGAAAGGCCCUGCUUUUGUGGGGUGCUCGAGUGGCGAACGGGUGAGUAACACGUGAGUAACCUGCCCUUGACUUUGGGAUAACUUCAGGAAACUGGGGCUAAUACCGGAUAGGAGCUCCUGCUGCAUGGUGGGGGUUGGAAAGUUUCGGCGGUUGUGGAUGGACUCGCGGCUUAUCAGCUUGUUGGUGGGGUAGUGGCUUACCAAGGCUUUGACGGGUAGCCGGCCUGAGAGGGUGACCGGCCACAUUGGGACUGAGAUACGGCCCAGAAUCCUACGGGAGGCAGCAGUGGGGAAUAUUGCACAAUGGGCGGAAGCCUGAUGCAGCAACGCCGCGUGCGGGAUGACGGCCUUCGGGUUGUAAACCGCUUUCGCCUGUGACGAAGCGUGAGUGACGGUAAUGGGUAAAGAAGCACCGGCUAACUACGUG